rnacentral:rRNA from 1 species
UACGGAGGGUGCAAGCGUUAAUCGGAAUUACUGGGCGUAAAGGGUGCGUAGGCGGUUGUUUAAGUCUGUUGUGAAAUCCCCGGGCUCAACCUGGGAAUGGCAAUGGAUACUGGGCAGCUAGAGUGUGUCAGAGGAUGGUGGAAUUCCCGGUGUAGCGGUGAAAUGCGUAGAGAUCGGGAGGAAUACCAGUGGCGAAGGCGGCCUCCUGGAUCGAUACUGACGCUGAGGCGCGAAAGCGUGGGGAGCAAACAGG